rnacentral:rRNA from 1 species
GGCGAGGGGAGUGAAAAAGAACCUGAAACCGUGUACGUACAAGCAGUGGGAGCACAGAGCAAUCUGUGUGACUGCGUACCUUUUGUAUAAUGGGUCAGCGACUUAUAUUCUGUAGCAAGGUUAACCGAAUAGGGGAGCCGAAGGGAAACCGAGUCUUAACUGGGCGUUAAGUUGCAGGGUAUAGACCCGAAACCCGGUGAUCUAGCCAUGGGCAGGUUGAAGGUUGGGUAACACUAACUGGAGGACCGAACCGACUAAUGUUGAAAAAUUAGCGGAUGACUUGUGGCUGGGGGUGAAAGGCCAAUCAAACCGGGAGAUAGCUGGUUCUCCCCGAAAGCUAUUUAGGUAGCGCCUCGUGAAUUCAUCUCCGGGGGUAGAGCACUGUUUCGGCAAGGGGGUCAUCCCGACUUACCAACCCGAUGCAAACUGCGAAUACCGGAGAAUGUUAUCACGGGAGACACACGGCGGGUGCUAACGUCCGUCGUGAAGAGGGAAACAACCCAGACCGCCAGCUAAGGUCCCAAAGUCAUGGUUAAGUGGGAAACGAUGUGGGAAGGCCCAGACAGCCAGGAUGUUGGCUUAGAAGCAGCCAUCAUUUAAAGAAAGCGUAAUAGCUCACUGGUCGAGUCGGCCUGCGCGGAAGAUGUAACGGGGCUAAACCAUGCACCGAAGCUGCGGCAGCGACACUGUGUGUUGUUGGGUAGGGGAGCGUUCUGUAAGCCUGUGAAGGUGUGCUGUGAGG